AGCUUUCGGCACUGAAGGUGACAUGCCGUGCUCAUUGGCUAUGCAUCCGUUGAAGGAAUAAAGGAAUGAACUCUGACCCGGGAAAGCAGGAGAGGCAGGAGUGUGACACCUUAACAGUCGACUGCAGUGGGAGCGGCGGCACCAGCAGCACUUGGGGAGACUUACUUUCCAGUGUGGCGGGAGUAGUAAACACUAGGAGUCAGAGAGUGAUGACCGAAGCUGGAGUUAAAAGUGGAAAUUAAAAUUCUCCUUCCUAUAAGAGGAAGAUAAUCGGUUAACUGCAGCUCACGUUUCCCCUCCAGCACUCGGCCAAACACGCACACGGAAGCGCGCACGAGCUGCCCACGGCAUUUCUUUCGGGGUUUGAGAAGAGAUGGACAGAGGUGGGAGAGCGCCGCUGCAGCCGCAUCAACAUUCCGGUGUCUGCCCUUAGAGGAGGUCCGGAAUUCAGUACUUGCCUGCUUCGAAGACAAUUCUACUGUUCAUGUGGUGAAAGUACAUAGUUUUGGAGAUAAAGACACCGAACCACAAACAGAUACAGCACACUGACCAACCAAGGCAGAGCUACAAUUAAAAAACCAAGAAGACGACAAGUGGAAUUUGCCUUUCUAUCCCUUCCUCAAAAUCUCCAUCAGCUUUUCUGAGGCAUUAUAAAUAAAACUAAAAUCUAAGUUAACCAGUGUGAUUAAUAGGCAGACACAACUUCAAAGGUUAUGAUAAAUGAUGACCAGCCCUGGAGACUCUGCUUUCUGAGCUUAUCUCAACCACAGGCCUGGACGGGACAAGCGUCACCUUGCUCUACCGAUGAACAUUGGCAGUUUGCGGUCUUUGCCAUCAGUGGUUGUUUUAUUCUUUGUCUGUGAAACAACAAAUGGGACUGGAAAAGCAAAAGAACCCUCCAUUUUUUAUGAGCUAAUCCUGCCUUACAAAGCUUCAUAAUACUUCUUUAAUUCAUUAUACCCGAGAAUGAUCCUUCUAUAGGUUAUUCAUUCUGCCUUGAAAAAUGACCUUUCCAGACACGAAUGCAAAGAACUAUAAAUAAAUGGUGGCACAGGGUUGAGAU